rnacentral:sRNA from 2 species
AACACCCACAAACAACGUCACGACGCAACGUGGUUAAACAGUACGUUUAUUAAAGUAACUGGGUGAACGACAUCGGAGCGGACUGCAAAUCGCAACGCUACUUUCUCGAGUGCAGAUACUCUUCGAGACGGCUAAACAACGUGUCCAACUCGCUGAGACCUUUCCGCGUGCCGUUAUCCGAUUUCCUUUCCGCCUCCUGAGACAGCCGACUAAUCACGGACUUAUCUCCGCAACCUAACAGAGGCUGGGAGCCCGACAAAAGUAAAACAGCGUGCUAUGAACACGUUGUUACCUCUGCGCGGACAGCGCCGCCACAGAGACACUUACGCAUUGCCGCAUGUCUUUGUAGAUGGAUUCUAGCGUCGAGCGCAUACUAUGCAAUUCCGUCUUAAGUCCAGGAUAGACGUGGUCGCCUGCGGGGAACACGAUCUCCAGAUACCGCCUCAACAACCAGUCCAUGACGCUGCAUCCCCAACAGCCUUUGACCACCGUACCGUCGAGCCACACGGAGUAGUCGUCCUCACGUUGCUACAAGAGGAAAACUACGUCACCCGACACGCGGAAAAGAAAGACCGUCGCAAUAAACCGUACCUACGUGACCUACCAACGUAGGUUUUACUCGAUGAAAGGUGACGCGGAGAUCUUGCAAUCUGGUCGCGUAAUCCUCUGGACGACACUGCGGCUUUGUAUUCUUUAUCGUCGUCGUCGUUGCCGGCUUCGCCUCCUCGGAAGCGCCUAGAAAAAAGACGAUCAGGACCAGAGAGGAAGAGACCAUCACCGACAGCAUCGCCGCAGCAUGCCGCCCCAAUCCGCCGCCCAACUGCGCGUCCCAGGUACCACUCGUAGACUGUCAGCCUUACGAGGAGACACCGCGGACCGGGGAAACGGAUAAGUUUACGAACAAAAAUCUCAAGAGAAAGAUGCUGACCCGAUAAGUACCGUCACGGAGACACGGUGGUUUUUAUUGAAUUUCCAGUGUAUCGAGCCACCGUGAUGCAGGUACGGUGGUUUUAUGUGAAGUGCCGCUAUCUAUAGGCGAUGUGUUCCCUGACGGUGUGUGUUUUUUGGGGAUAGACAACGUGGUUCUUGUACGUGGUUUUUACCCUGCUCAAUAAAGUCACGUUUUCCUUACACGGUGUUGUGUC